AGCUGACCAAGGUGCCCCAGCUCCAGCUCUCUUGGAGCACAGGGACUGCAGUGAGUGGCCGCCUUCUCCCAGCUCUGGCCCUCUUGACUGUCCAUCUGCUGGUGUCAGUGAGAUGAGAGAGGGAUGCAGCUUUUGAGGGUGAAUCAAAUCAUCCCAAGCCAUGAAUUUUGUGUCAUUAAUUUCAUCCUGAAAGCAGGCUCCUUCAUUCUCCUGGGAUGAAUUUUAGAGCUUAAAACAGAGAGAGCAGCAGGAGGCAUUGCAAGCAGAUCUUUGAUGCUGCGGAUGAGAGAUGGACCCUGGUGAAAACUGGAAGCUGGAUGAAACAAACUGGUUGUCUCAUGGUGGGAUCCACCCCUUUUCCAAUGUGAAAGGAGACAAUGAGCUCUCCGAAGGUGCCCCAGCCCUCUUUGCUCUGGAUCAGCUGGG